rnacentral:antisense_RNA from 1 species
GGGGGACAGGAUGGUGGCUCAGAUUGCAGGGGCUGCUCAGUGAGAAGUGGAAGGACUUCAGAGAGAUGUGGAGGCAAAACCCACAGGCUUGCUGAUGAAUGAAACGGGUGGAGGUGUGUGAUGCGAUACUCAAAGGCAACCUGGUCAGGUGCACAAAGUCUAGGGUUCAGAAUCCAACAGGCUUAAAUUCAAGUCCAGCUCAGCCACGUGGCUGAGUGCUGUCUGAACCUCAGCGUCCUCAGCUGUUAAACAGAGUGUCUCUCAAGAAUGAAAAUGACCAGGCCAUCCUCAUGUUCUACAGGGGUUAACCCAGCAACUUAGGGACACAGCUGGGGCAGGACUCCCGGGCUCCUGGUCAGUUCCUCUAUGGGGAUGCUAAGCCUCAGGGCUGACAUCUCUUAGCUCUGCCUUCCAGGAGAAUUUCAUAGGGGCUCCCAUUUGUGCUGCUGUGAAGGCCGUCCUGCUCCUUGUCAAGCCUGUCUUCUCCUUGCCUUGAGGAAGAUCUCUUUCGUGCCCAAAUUGUGAAUAAGUAAACUGGAUGCAGCAUCUCUGAUUGCUCU